rnacentral:rRNA from 1 species
UGCAGUUGAGCGGUAAGGCCCCUUCGGGGGUACACGAGCAGCGAACGGGUGAGUAUCGCGUGGGUAAUCUACCUAGAGGUAGGGGAUAGCCUCGGGAAACCGAGGGUAAUACCGCAUAAGUCCUCGACGGCAUAAGUCGACGAGGGGAAAGGCGGGGCUCCUUCGGGACCUGUCGCCUCUGGAUGAGCCCGCGUCCGAUUAGCUAGUUGGUGAGGUAAUGGCUCACCAAGGCAACGAUCGGUAGCCGGCCUGAGAGGGUGAACGGCCACAUUGGGACUGAGACACGGCCCAGACUCCUACGGGAGGCAGCAGUGGGGAAUUUUGGGCAAUGGGGGAAACCCUGACCCAGCGACGCCGCGUGGAGGAUGGCGGCCUUCGGGUUGUAAACUCCUGUCAG